ensembl:lncRNA
UUUGAAAAAUAUUAAAAAUAUGGAAGCAAUUGUAAAAUCACUUUCACCUGUGCAAUAUCCUUUUUCAUGACUGUCUCCAAAUUACAUAGCUAGGGUUACAGAUUUUCACAAACAGUUUCACUUGUGAUGGUUAUGUGGCUGUAAUUCCGGGCUGCUAUUUAUUUCAAUCUGUUGAAAGGGUAUGGGGCUAUCUUUGCCUUCUCUUCCUCCUGUUGCUUAAACCAUCCAAGAAAACGUCAACAAAUUAAGUAAGAGGAGGAGAAAACAGGAGGUAGAGAUCGUAUUCAAAGGACUGAAAGCCACCACAUCAGAAAUAUUAAGUCGGUAAUACAUAGGGUUACCUCCCCACUCCAUGUCCUCCAUCUGUGCAAUGGGCUAACGUCCCUGGGCUGAAGAGGUCUGAGGAUGAAGAAAGAAGUCCUCAGCUGCUGCAGAGAUGCUAAGAAAACAGCCAGCUGUCUCCUGACUUAGAAUAUUUGAAAGCUUUCUGGCCUCUCCGAGGAAGCCGAUCCAAAUCCACCCAGUGUGUCAAUUUGCUUUUUAGGAGCGACGGGAUAAGCACAUAAAUCUGGGCAGUGCUUACAUUUUUAGUUUAUUGGCUUUAUGAGGGUUGUUUGGGGCUCUCUCUGCGGUAAACUGCAGAAGAGUGGCGGGCGGGGGACAAGGUGGGGAGGAAAGGAGUCGGCGAAGGAGAGGAGAGUAAGAGAGAGCAGCAGGGGGGUGGAAACCCCGGGAAGGAAAGGAAAUGCAGAAGGCGGAGAACUCAGCCAGACGUGGGAUGGGUAGAGGUAGGGCGGGACCCAGGCUGCGCCCGGAUCGGGAGGGCCCGGGCUGGGCUCUGUUUGAGGGUGCCACCGAGCCCAGGGCCGCGCGCUUUGCAGCCGAGCUGAUCCCUUCGCCUGGCUGCUGGCCGCUUGCCGCCCCCGCCCCCUGCCUCCAUCCCGUGCGGCCGCCUCGGGGAGUGUCCCAGCAGUGUCCACAUAAAAUAUUUUCUUCUGUAGAACCCUUGCAAUAAAAUCGGAUUUUUCUAUUUGGAUGGUUCUACGUCAAAGAAGGUCAGCAGCGGCGCUGGUUUGCUAAUGAUUAACCGAGGACUUUUCCUACAAUAAAGCAGUCAAUGCGGUGCCCACGAGCCAUUGAUUUCCAUGCGUGUGUCGUCAGCGUGUUGUUCACUUUUUCCUAAGAUUAUGACAAUCAUCAUCAUCAUCAUAAUAACCGGGACACAAACAGCUCUGGAGAAGUCGUUUGUAACUACAUCUUCGAGGAGGUGAGAAACACACACUACCCUGUGGACCUCUGUUUUAUUUUUGCCGGAGGAGCGCAGAAUUGCCGGGUUUUUAAAAAAAUGAUCUAUUUACAGACUUGCUAAUGCCUCCCCAGAAAUCCUGUUUAUCGGCCCAAUAGUUGUGACAGGGUUAGAAAACCAGUUUAAACUGUUAAUCGGCCACAAAAAGAGUCCCAGAUUGAAGCUUUUCACUUAUCUUUGAAACACUAUCCUCGCCCUACAUUGGGAUGAAAUUAGCGACAAAAUCAUUACCUUGACUUCUCGCAAUAAAGAUAGCCUUAAAGAGAGGCUAUUGAUGGUUUCAAAUUACAUAACGGUGGUUUAUAAGGUCUUCCUCUGGGCUCACAGAAAGCAAUUUUAAAGUGAAUUCUUCAAAGAACAAACUGCAACUAGCAUUCAAACACCGACACGCAUCUGCCUUAAGUUUUAUUUAUGGCAAAGUGGCUAUUAGAAAAAAGGAGAAAAACAAAAACAAAAAUCCCAGCAAAAGCAGGCCGUGCCCAAAGAGAAUCACGUCCGGCUUAUAUUUCGCCAAGCUCCCUGGGCUCACGCUUGGCCCCGGAGCCCGGAGGGCUCGACGUCUCCCUGGGGGUGGGGGAGACAGGCGGUGGGGUUCAUAGCCCUGCAGGUGGGAAAAGCCCCGUGCGUGUCAUCGGGUCCCAUCUGCCCGCUGCUUCUGCGGAUUUUAAACCCGGACACAGCCUCCUCGAGGCUAGAAGGAAAGGCAUUUCCCAAAGAGCACCGAUUCCGGGCGUGGGCCUGGGGCUAGGUGCUGGCGCCACAGGCCAGCCCUCCCACCCCGGCCCUCUGGGAUGGCUCCAACCUGGCCAGCGAUCGGCCUCCGCCUUACAGCAGGCCUUUCCUGGG